GAGAGAGAGAAAAGAACGGCUAGUGCGCGGCGCGGGUGCGAUCGCACGCAGCUUGGCCGGGCCGGCGCACACUCUCCGGCUCGAAGCGAAGCGAUAACGUUACGAGACAUCCAUCGUGCGGUCCGCGCGCGUGCGGAGCUUUGUUGGCAGAGCCCGGUGCCGGGCCCCGCGCGGCGCUCUGCAGGCGUUUGGCCGCGCCCAGAUCGCAUCUGCGCGCGCGCGCGUGGUGGCGACAUGGAGCCCCGGGCCGCAUGUUCCUGCCCCGGGUUACGGCCUCCCCAGGCCCCGCCGC
rnacentral:lncRNA from 7 species